AGAGGGAUAGCUGGGUCAAAUGGUGGUUCCAUUCCCAGAUUUCCAAGGAAUCUCCAUACUGCUUUCCAUAUUGGCUGUACCAAUUUACAGUCCCACCAGCAAU
rnacentral:pre_miRNA from 1 species